GGCCUAACACAUGCAAGUCGAGCGGAAACGACACUAACAAUCCUUCGGGUGCGUUAAUGGGCGUCGAGCGGCGGACGGGUGAGUAAUGCCUAGGAAAUUGCCUUGAUGUGGGGGAUAACCAUUGGAAACGAUGGCUAAUACCGCAUAAUGCCUACGGGCCAAAGAGGGGGACCUUCGGGCCUCUCGCGUCAAGAUAUGCCUAGGUGGGAUUAGCUAGUUGGUGAGGUAAUGGCUCACCAAGGCGACGAUCCCUAGCUGGUCUGAGAGGAUGAUCAGCCACACUGGAACUGAGACACGGUCCAGACUCCUACGGGAGGCAGCAGUGGGGAAUAUUGCACAAUGGGCGAAAGCCUGAUGCAGCCAUGCCGCGUGUAUGAAGAAGGCCUUCGGGUUGUAAAGUACUUUCAGUUGUGAGGAAGGGGGUAGCGUUAAUAGCGCUAUCUCUUGACGUUAGCAACAGAAGAAGCACCGGCUAACUCCGUGCCAGCAGCCGCGGUAAUACGGAGGGUGCGAGCGUUAAUCGGAAUUACUGGGCGUAAAGCGCAUGCAGGUGGUUCAUUAAGUCAGAUGUGAAAGCCCGGGGCUCAACCUCGGAACUGCAUUUGAAACUGGUGAACUAGAGUACUGUAGAGGGGGGUAGAAUUUCAGGUGUAGCGGUGAAAUGCGUAGAGAUCUGAAGGAAUACCAGUGGCGAAGGCGGCCCCCUGGACAGAUACUGACACUCAGAUGCGAAAGCGUGGGGAGCAAAACAGGAUUAGAU
rnacentral:rRNA from 1 species